rnacentral:rRNA from 1 species
UCGGGAAUUUUGGGCAAUGGGCGAAAGCCUGACCCAGCAACGCCGCGUGAAGGAUGAAGUAUUUCGGUAUGUAAACUUCGAAAGAAUAGGAAGAAUAAAUGACGGUACUAUUUAUAAGGUCCGGCUAACUCUGUGCCAGCAGCCGCGGUAAUACAGAGGUGGCAAGCGUUGUUCGGAAUUACUGGGCGUAAAGGGCGCGUAGGCGGCCCUCUAAGUCAGGCGUGAAAUCCCCCGGCUUAACCUGGGAACUGCGUCUGAUACUGGAGGGCUUGAGUAUGGGAGAGGGAUGUAGAAUUCCAGGUGUAGCGGUGAAAUGCGUAGAUAUCUGGAGGAAUACCGGUGGCGAAGGCGGCAUCCUGGACCAUUACUGACGCUGAGGCGCGAAAGCUAGGGGAGCAAACGGGAUUAGAUACCCAAGUAGUCCCUGAGCGGGCUGGCAAGGCGCAU